rnacentral:rRNA from 1 species
UGGGGAAUAUUGCACAAUGGGCGCAAGCCUGAUGCAGCCAUGCCGCGUGUAUGAAGAAGGCCUUCAGGUUGUAAAGUACUUUCAGCGGGGAGGAAGGCGAUAAGGUUAAUAACCUUGUCGAUUGACGUUACCCGCAGAAGAAGCACCGGCUAACUCCGUGCCAGCAGCCGCGGUAAUACGGAGGGUGCAAGCGUUAAUCGGAAUUACUGGGCGUAAAGCGCACGCAGGCGGUCUGUCAAGUCGGAUGUGAAAUCCCCGGGCUCAACCUGGGAACUGCAUUCGAAACUGGCAGGCUAGAGUCUUGUAGAGGGGGGUAGAAUUCCAGGUGUAGCGGUGAAAUGCGUAGAGAUCUGGAGGAAUACCGGUGGCGAAGGCGGCCCCCUGGACAAAGACUGACGCUCAGGUGCGAAAGCGUGGGGAGCAAACA